rnacentral:rRNA from 1 species
UACGGAGGGUGCAAGCGUUGUUCGGAAUCACUGGGCGUAAAGCGCGUGUAGGCGGUCUCUUAAGUCUGGUGUGAAAGCCCGGGGCUUACCCCCGGAAGGGCACUGGAGACUGGGAGACUAGAGUACCGGAGAGGAAGGUGGAAUUCCAGGUGUAGCAGUGAAAUGCGUAGAUAUCUGGAGGAACACCGGUGGCGAAGGCGGCAUCCUGGACCGGUAUUGACGCUGAGGCGCGAAAGCUAGGGGAGCAAACGGG